rnacentral:rRNA from 1 species
UGGUGGAGUGAUUUGUCUGGUUAAUUCCGUUAACGAACGAGACCUCAGCCUGCUAAGUAGCUACUCGGUGCUCCAAGUUACUGAGGCCAGCUUCUUAGAGGGACUAUCGGCGUUUAGCCGGCAGGAAGUCUGAGGCAAUAACA